rnacentral:rRNA from 1 species
AUUGAACGCUGGCGGCAGGCCUAACACAUGCAAGUCGAACGCGUGGCGGACGGGUGAGUAAUGUCUGGGAAACUGCCUUAUGGAGGGGGAUAACUACUGGAAACGGUAGCUAAUACCGCAUACCAUCAGAUGUUCCCAGAUGGGUUUAGCUAGUCGGUGGGGUAAAGGCUCACCAAGGCGACGAUCCCUAGCUGGUCUUAGAGGAUGACCAGCCACACUGGAAAUGAGACACGGUCCAGACUCCUACGGUAGGCAGCAGUGGGGAAUUUUGAACAAUGGGCGAAAGCCUGAUGCAGCCAUGCCGCGUGUAUGAAGAAGGCCUUCGGGUUGUAAAGUACUUUCAGCGGGGAGGCGUUACCCGCAGAAGAAGCACCGGCUAACUCCGUGCCAGCAGCCGCGGUAAUUC